UACAGAGGGGGCAAGCGUUGUUCGGAAUUACUGGGCGUAAAGGGCGCGUAGGCGGCCUUCUAAGUCGAACGUGAAAUCCCCGGGCUCAACCCGGGAACUGCGUCCGAUACUGGAAGGCUUGAAUCCGGGAGAGGGAUGCGGAAUUCCAGGUGUAGCGGUGAAAUGCGUAGAUAUCAGGAGGAACACCGGUGGCGAAGGCGGGUCUCUGGGCAACAACGUGACGCUGGAGGAGCGAAAGCGUGGGGAGCGAACAGG
rnacentral:rRNA from 1 species